rnacentral:rRNA from 1 species
AACGAACGCUGGCGGCGUGGAUAAGACAUGCAAGUCGAACGAGAGAAUUGCUAGCUUGCUAAUAAUUCUCUAGUGGCGCACGGGUGAGUAACACGUGAGUAACCUGCCCCCGAGAGCGGGAUAGCCCUGGGAAACUGGGAUUAAUACCGCAUAGUAUCGAAAGAUUAAAGCAGCAAUGCGCUUGGGGAUGGGCUCGCGGCCUAUUAGUUAGUUGGUGAGGUAACGGCUCACCAAGGCGAUGACGGGUAGCCGGUCUGAGAGGAUGUCCGGCCACACUGGAACUGAGACACGGUCCAGACACCUACGGGUGGCAGCAGUCGAGAAUCAUUCACAAUGGGGGAAACCCUGAUGGUGUGACGCCGCGUGGGGGAAUGAAGGUCUUCGGAUUGUAAACCCCUGUCAUGUGGGAGCAAAUUAAAAAGAUAGUACCACAAGAGGAAGAGACGGCUAACUCUGUGCCAGCAGCCGCGGUAAUACAGAGGUCUCAAGCGUUGUUCGGAAUCACUGGGCGUAAAGCGUGCGUAGGCUGUUUCGUAAGUCGUGUGUGAAAGGCGCGGGCUCAACCCGCGGACGGCACAUGAUACUGCGAGACUAGAGUAAUGGAGGGGGAACCGGAAUUCUCGGUGUAGCAGUGAAAUGCGUAGAUAUCGAGAGGAACACUCGUGGCGAAGGCGGGUUCCUGGACAUUAACUGACGCUGAGGCACGAAGGCCAGGGGAGCGAAAGGGAUUAGAUACCCCUGUAGUCCUGGCAGUAAACGGUGCACGCUUGGUGUGCGGGGAAUCGACCCCCUGCGUGCCGGAGCUAACGCGUUAAGCGUGCCGCCUGGGGAGUACGGUCGCAAGAUUAAAACUCAAAGAAAUUGACGGGGACCCGCACAAGCGGUGGAGUAUGUGGCUUAAUUCGAUGCAACGCGAAGAACCUUACCUGGGCUUGACAUGUAAUGAACAACAUGUGAAAGCAUGCGACUCUUCGGAGGCGUUACACAGGUGCUGCAUGGCCGUCGUCAGCUCGUGUCGUGAGAUGUUUGGUUAAGUCCAGCAACGAGCGCAACCCCUGUUGCCAGUUACCAGCACGUGAAGGUGGGGACUCUGGCGAGACUGCCCAGAUCAACUGGGAGGAAGGUGGGGACGACGUCAGGUCUGUAUGGCCCUUAUGCCCAGGGCUGCACACGUACUACAAUGCCCAGUACAGAGGGGGCCGAAGCCGCGAGGCGGAGGAAAUCCUGAAAACUGGGCCCAGUUCGGACUGUAGGCUGCAACCCGCCUACACGAAGCCGGAAUCGCUAGUAAUGGCGCAUCAGCUACGGCGCCGUGAAUACGUUCCCGGGUCU